AGCAGCCGCGGUAAUUCCAGCUCCAAUAGCGUAUAUUAAAGUUGCUGCAGUUAAAAAGCUCGUAGUUGAAUUUCGGGACCAUCACGUCGGUCGUGCCUCGGUACGUACUGGCGUCGUUGGUUUCUCCCUUCUGACGAACCAUGAUGUCAUUUAUUUGGUGUCGUGGGGAAUCAGGACUGUUACUUUGAAAAAAUUAGAGUGUUUAAAGCAGGCUCACGCUUGAAUACAUUAGCAUGGAAUAAUGAAAUAGGACGUUUGAUUCUAUUUUGUUGGUUUCUAGGAUCGACGUAAUGAUUAAUAGGGAUAGUUGGGGGCAUUAGUAUUCAAUUGUCAGAGGUGAAAUUCUUGGAUUUAUUGAAGACUAACUACUGCGAAAGCAUUUGCCAAGGAUGUUUUCAUUAAUCAAGAACGAAAGUUAGGGGAUCGAAGACGAUCAGAUACCGUCGUAGUCUUAACCAUAAACUAUGCCGACUAGGGAUCGGAUGAUGUUAAUUUUUAAUGUACUCAUUCGGCGUCCUUA
rnacentral:rRNA from 1 species